rnacentral:rRNA from 1 species
AUACGUAGGGGGCGAGCGUUGUCCGGAAUUACUGGGCGUAAAGAGCACGUAGGCGGCUAUAAAAGUCAGAUGUGAAAAACCUGGGCUCAACCGAGGGUAUGCAUCUGAAACUAAAUAGCUUGAGUCAAGGAGAGGAGAGCGGAAUUCCUGGUGUAGCGGUGAAAUGCGUAGAGAUGUGGAGGAACACCUGUGGCGAAGGCGCCUUGCUGGCCGGUUCCUGACGUUGAGGCGCGAAAGCGUGGGGAGCAAACAGGAUUAGAUACCCUGGUAGUCCACGCCGUAAACGAUGGAUACUAGGUGUGGGUUAGUAUAAUCCGUGCCGGAGUUAACGCAAUAAGUAUCCCGCCUGGGGAGUACGGCCGCAAGGUUGAA